GCAAGUCGAACGAGAAAGGAUUCUUCGGAAUCCGAGUAAAGUGGCGCACGGGUGAGUAAAGCGUAGAUAAUCUAUCCUCGUGUCUGGGAUAACACUUCGAACGGGGGACUAAUACCGGAUAUAUUCGUACCUGUUGGGGUAUGAAGUAAAGGUGGCCUCUAUUUAUAAGCUAUCGCAUAGGGAGGAGUCUGCGUACCAUUAGCUAGUUGGUGGGGUAAUGGCCUACCAAGGCAUCGAUGGUUAGCGGGUCUGAGAGGAUGAUC
rnacentral:rRNA from 1 species